AUACGGAGGGUGCAAGCGUUAUCCGGAAUCAUUGGGCGUAAAGCGCGCGUAGGCGGCUUGAUAAGUUGGAUGUGAAAGCCUACGGCUCAACCGUAGAACUGCAUCCAAAACUGUCAAGCUAGAGUCUGGGAGGGGAAGAUGGAAUUAGUUGUGUAGGGGUAAAAUCCGUAGAGAUAACUAGGAAUACCAAAAGCGAAGGCGAUCUUCUGGAACAGUACUGACGCUGAGGCGCGAAAGCGUGGGGAGCAAACAGGAUUAGAAACCCCUGUAGUCC
rnacentral:rRNA from 1 species